AGGACGAGCGCUGGCGGCGUGCUUAACACAUGCAAGUCGAGCGGAAAGGCCCUUCGGGGUACUCGAGCGGCGAACGGGUGAGUAACACGUGAGCAAUCUGCCCUUAGCUUCGGGAUAGCUCCGGGAAACCGGAAUUAAUACCGGAUAUGACUAUGGCUGACAUCAGCCACGGUGGAAAGUUUUUCGGCUAGGGAUGAGCUCGCGGCCUAUCAGCUAGUUGGUGGGGUAACGGCCUACCAAGGCGACGACGGGUA
rnacentral:rRNA from 1 species